rnacentral:rRNA from 1 species
CCCUUCGAUGUUCUGGGCUGCACGCGCGCUACAAUGGUCUUCGCAAACGGAUGCAUUCUCGAAGGAGAAUGCCAAUCUUGGAAUCUAUGCCUUGGUCGGGACAGUUGCUUGCAAUUUUUCGACUCGAACCAGGAAUUCCUUGUAAUCGUGAUUCAUCACAUCACGAUGAAUACGUCCCUGCCCUUUGUACACACCGCCCGUCGCUCCUACCGAUCGAAGAGUUAGGUGAAUUGUUUUGAUCGAUAAGAUUUGACUAUGGUCAACUCUCGUUGUGAAAUUCUGUGAAUCUGACUGUUUAGAGGAAGGAAAAGUCGUAACA